rnacentral:rRNA from 1 species
AACGAACGCUUGCGGCAGGCCUAACACAUGCAAGUCGAGCGAGACCUUCGGGUCUAGCGGCGGACGGGUGAGUAACGCGUGGGAACGUGCCCUUUUCUACGGAAUAGCCUCGGGAAACUGAGCGUAAUACCGUAUACGCCCUUUGGGGGAAAGAUUUAUCGGAGAAGGAUCGGCCCGCGUUGGAUUAGGUAGUUGGUGGGGUAAUGGCCUACCAAGCCUACGAUCCAUAGCUGGUUUGAGAGGAUGAUCAGCCACACUGGGACUGAGACACGGCCCAGACUCCUACGGGAGGCAGCAGUGGGGAAUCUUAGACAAUGGGGGCAACCCUGAUCUAGCCAUGCCGCGUGAGUGAUGAAGGCCUUAGGGUUGUAAAGCUCUUUCAGCUGGGAAGAUAAUGACGGUACCAGCAGAAGAAGCCCCGGCUAACUCCGUG